rnacentral:ncRNA from 1 species
UCCGCGGGGGGCCCUAGAUAUGAGGGCUGAGAUACUACCGCCAUUGGUAUCGUCUGAUGGCAUUGUGGUGACCCGUUGAACCUGAUCCGGAUCAAACCGGCGUAGGGAUCGGA